AUUGAACGCUGGCGGCAGGCUUAACACAUGCGAGUCGAGCGGUAGCACAGGGGAGCUUGCUCCCUGGGUGGCGAGCGGCGGACGGGUGAGUAAUGUCUGGGAAACUGCCUGAUGGAGGGGGAUAACUACUGGAAACGGUAGCUAAUACCGCAUAACGUCGCAAGACCAAAGAGGGGGACCUUCGGGCCUCUUGCCAUCAGAUGUGCCCAGAUGGGAUUAGCUAGUAGGUGGGGUAAUGGCUCACCUAGGCGACGAUCCCUAGCUGGUCUGAGAGGAUGACCAGCCACACUGGAACUGAGACACGGUCCAGACUCCUACGGGAGGCAGCAGUGGGGAAUAUUGCACAAUGGGCGCAAGCCUGAUGCAGCCAUGCCGCGUGUGAGAAGAAGGCCUUCGGGUUGUAAAGCACUUUCAGCGAGGAGGAAGGUGGUGAGCUUAAUACGUUCAUCAAUUGACGUUACUCGCAGAAGAAGCACCGGCUAACUCCGUG
rnacentral:rRNA from 1 species